AAUGUCUCUAGAGCAGUGGAGUUCGUUGAGAAUCAAAUUCGACGAUAAUUCAGAGAGCGAGGGGGGAGGAGAGAGAGAGAGAGAGAGGAGACAGAAACUAGGGUUUCGUCGUCCAGAGAAUCUCUUCGAAAAAAGACAACUUUUUUAUCGUCUCUAACGAUGCCAGCCCUCGUUAAAUCCCUCUUCGUCCUCGGUUCGAGAUGCUUCGACAAAACCUUAGGCCUCGAUCGAUUCCGGAGAAAAGCGAGCGAUUUUGGCUGAUUUCUUGGUCUUUGAGGACUAAGAUGGCUCCUGCAAUGGGUAAUCCCUCAAGACCUAAUGGAUCUUCUUUAAUUCGCCCUUCAUCUAGACAUAAGAGAAGUGGCUACGAGCCAUCUGACACCGAAACCGAAUGGCAGGAGAGCCCCUGGCAUGAUGGAUUAUUGGUUUCAAAUAGGUCGAAGACUCCUAAUCCUGCCAGAAUUGAUAACCCAAUCUCAAACAGGUCUCAAACUCCUGAUCCUACCAGAGCUACUGCUCCCUCAAAUCGUAGCCAGAGGCCUACUUCAAAGGAGGACAAAGACAACUCUGCAAAUAGGACUUCAAGAAGAAGUCCUUCGGACAGAAGGCGCAGCAAAUCUCCUUAUAAGUCAAUCACACAAGGUGAAGAUGCUGCUGCUUAUAUUGGCCAUCCGGGUCUAAGGAGGAAUACCAGCCCUUUUAAGGUGUCAGAGCAUCGCAAUCCCAGUCCAUUUAAGGGUUCAUUGAAUUGUGAUACAAGUCCUUUUAAGGCUUCAGAGCAUGGAAGUAAGCAUAUUUCUCCAUAUAUGAGUAGAAGAGAGGAGUUGUAUCAUAAAAAUGAUGAUCUUGAUGGCUCAUCCCGGAAGAAAGACCACAGAACACCUUCUAGACGUCAACGCUCUGAAGAUAAAGGAACUCAUACACAACCUCAAGUAGGUCCUAAUAUGAAGGAAAGUUCUCGGAAAAAAUUUCAAGAACUUUCUCGAGCUAGUGAAAGGUCCAACUUACAUCAAAGUAGGUCGAUGUCUGUGCCAAAACUGAGAACAAAAGAAAGGGAAGGUCAGGUUAAUUCUGGUGCAGAGCGGAGGCCAUCACCACUAGCUAAGACUAUAAUCCAUGAAGAGAAUGGUGGUUCUUAUGGAAAUUAUACAGAUGAAGACAUAAAUGUUAAAAUUGCUAAUAUGAAGCUGUCUAAACCUCCCUCAGCUGGUGAUAUAUUAAAUCAAGAUACAGAGUCUGUUUCACUUGGUGAUAUCUUCGUUUCUCGUGAUUGUACAAAUCUCCACAAAGGAUCUGCAAAUAAAGGAAACAAAUCUGCUCAACGGUAUAGUACAUUUCCAGAAAGUAAAAAUGUAGUCCAUCAGUUUAAUAGAGGUAGAGGAAGUUUUAAUCAGAAUCGUCAAGUUGUUUCAAUGAGCACUGUUCUUUCACAAGCAAAUACAAGUUCAAGCUCUGCUUUUGAUCGAACUUUCGGCAGCAAGUUAAGUGAGAGCAGUGGAAAACUAAGUGGAAGUUUGAAAAAGAUCACUGCUAUCAGACAAAGAAGCCAAGCUGAUACAUGGUUGUCUUGUGUGAGAAGGGGUGGAUCAUGUGCUAAGUCGAAGUCACUGGACUCUAGAGAAGUUGAUGAGGCAUCUUUUAUUGAAAGGGCACUUGUUGUGGAAGAACUCAGACCAUCUUGGGCUGUGAAGCACAGGCCACUCUCAUUGAGUAAAUUUAUUUGUCACAAACAACAAGCUAAAUAUCUCAAAGAAUUGAUAUCCCAUGACAAUUUUCCGCAUAUUCUGUUCAAGGGACUUUCAGGCUCUGGAAAGAAAUCAUUAAUCACGGCAUUGCUGCAUGAAAUUUUUGGUGAUUCCUUGAAAACAUCUGAUGAUCUGAGACACUUCCAGGUUCAGGAAACUACGCCUAUGCAAAUUUCAGUUCCAGUAACUUCGAGUCCUCAUCAUGUGGAGCUUAACUUGAAGUCUGAAUCAAAGAAUGCUCGAUAUGCUUUGAUGGCUUUAGUUAAGGAAAUAACAAGUGAUCAUGCGCUGGCCCCUGAAGUGAGUGAUGUCAGUUUAAAGGCGGACUAUAAAGUGGUCAUUCUCCAUGAAGUUGAUAAAGUUGCUGACAGUGUUCAGCACCUGAUAAAGUGGAUAAUGGACCGUUAUACAGAAGCAUGCAAAAUCAUUCUUUGUUGUGAAGAUGAUGCUUCUAUCCUCAACUCUGUGAAGACUCGCUGCAAAUUUAUCUCUGUGGAUCCCCCUGUUACAAAUGAGAUCAUGGAGGUCCUGAUUGAUAUUGCCAAGAAGGAAAACUUGGAGCUUUCUACGAGUUUUGCUGCUAGAAUCGCUUCCAAGUCAAAGCACAAUUUACGAAGAGCAAUUAUGGCUCUUGAAGCAUGCAGAGCACACAAUUAUCCUUUCAAUGAUAGUCAACCAAUUCCAGUGGGUUGGGAGGAGGUUGUUGUGGAAGUUGCAGAAGAAAUUCUUGCUGAUCCUUCCACAAAAAGUCUGUUCUUCAUACGUGGGAAGUUCCAAAAGCUUUUGGUGGAAUUUGUGCAUCCCAAAUUGAUCCUCCAGAAACUCGUGGAACAGUUCCUCAAGCGAGUUGAAGCUAGCAUUAAACGUGAACUUUAUUAUUGGCAUGCAUAUUACGAGAAGAGAUUGCCUGUUGGAAUAGGUGCCCUGCUGAAGUUGGAAGAAUUUGUUGCAAAGUUCAUGAGCAUCUACAGGAAAAGCAGCUCAGCCCCACAGUUCGUCUAGAGCCAGGGGACCAUCUUACCGGUGACUUUAUGGCAAUCAUUUUGCUGCCAAUUCUGUUGUCAAUUGGAGAAUAAUCUGACAGAUAAAUUGAUAAAGCGUUUGUAAGAAUUUGCGUAGACUUUUGGUUAAAGAAUUAAGUUUAAGAUAUGUAAUAUUCUUCUCAAGGUUGUGCUUGAAGACCACUGCUCAGAAGGGCAACGAACUCUCUAUGUACUGAAGAGUUGCAGGCGCACAAUCAUGGAUGUUGGUACGUUCUCACGUUUAUGUGCUCAACAUGGUUGCUGAAAGUGGAAGUACAAAGCAGAGCUUGACAAAUAAAACCUCAAUACAAUCUCAUUAUUAUCCUGGACGCAAGGCGCAUCAAUCAAAGCGGUCAACAACCAAGAACUGAAUGUAUUGAACCCCACUGAUUUACUAUAUCAGAACAUUCAGAACAUUCUGUAUACGAGGGGAAGUUCAAAAUUACAACUGUUCUCUGUGUAUGGUUCAAAACA